UACGGAGGGGGUUAGCGUUGUUCGGAAUUACUGGGCGUAAAGCGCGCGUAGGCGGACAUUUAAGUCAGAGGUGAAAUCCCCAGGGCUCAACCCUGGAACUGCCUUGAUACUGGGUGUCUUGAGUUCGAGAGAGGUGAGUGGUAUUCCGAGUGUAGAGGUGAAAUUCGUAGAUAUUCGGAGGAACACCAGUGGCGAAGGCGGCUCACUGGCUCGAUACUGACGCUGAGGUGCGAAAGUGUGGGGAGCAAACAGGAUUAGAUACCCGGGUAGU
rnacentral:rRNA from 1 species